UGGGGAAUAUUGGACAAUGGGCGAAAGCCUGAUCCAGCCAUGCCGCGUGUGUGAAGAAGGUCUUCGGAUUGUAAAGCACUUUAAGUUGGGAGGAAGGGCAUUAACCUAAUACGUUAGUGUUUUGACGUACCGACAGAAUAAGCACCGGCUAACUCUGUGCCAGCAGCCGCGGUAAUACAGAGGGUGCAAGCGUUAAUCGGAAUUACUGGGCGUAAAGCGCGCGUAGGUGGUUUGUUAAGUUGGAUGUGAAAGCCCCGGGCUCAACCUGGGAACUGCAUCCAAAACUGGCAAGCUAGAGUACGGUAGAGGGUGGUGGAAUUUCCUGUGUAGCGGUGAAAUGCGUAGAUAUAGGAAGGAACACCAGUGGCGAAGGCGACCACCUGGACUGAUACUGACACUGAGGUGCGAAAGCGUGGGGAGCAAACA
rnacentral:rRNA from 1 species